rnacentral:rRNA from 1 species
AGCGAACGCUGGCGGCAGGCCUAACACAUGCAAGUCGAACGGACCCUUCGGGGUUAGUGGCGGACGGGUGAGUAACACGUGGGAACGUGCCUUUAGGUUCGGAAUAGCUCCUGGAAACGGGUGGUAAUGCCGAAUGUGCCCUUCGGGGGAAAGAUUUAUCGCCUUUAGAGCGGCCCGCGUCUGAUUAGUUGGUUGGUUGAGGUAACGGCUCACCAAGGCGACGAUCAGUAGCUGGUCUGAGAGGAUGGCCAGCCACAUUGGGACUGAGACACGGCCGAAACUCCUACGGGAGGCAGCAGUGGUGAAUCUUGCGCAAUGGGCGAAAGCCUGACGCAGCCAUGCCGCGUGAAUGAUGAAGGUCUUAGGAUUGUAAAAUUCUUUCACCGGGGACGAUAAUGACGGUACGUGGAAAAAAAGCCCCGGCUAACUUCGUGCCAGCAGCCGCCGCGGUAA